GGGGCCGCUCCGCCCAGCCCGGAGGGGGGUGCCACUGCCGCGGCGCUAGGCCCGGAGCCCCGCUUGGGGAGACUAGAGCACUCACCCUGGGCCUGCUGGAGAGUUCCCGGAGAGAGGGUCGCCGCUCGCCGGCACCGGGGCGCUCGGGUGAGCACUCGCAGAGGCCGUUGACCGAGCGCACCGAGGCGCCCGGGCAAAGAAGCGGCGGAGCGGCCGCGACGGGCCGGGACAGACGCGAGAACGGCCAGGACUGGCCCCUUCCAGGAGCCGUAGCGGAAGUAGGUUCCUGGUCAUGUGACAAAGGAAGGGCGGAUGUUGCAUGCAGGUUCGUGAGAGGGCGACGAGGAGCCAUUUUUGUUGUGGGCAAAGUACUCCAGGCUCAGGGAAGGGGGUGAAGAGGUGGAGGAUGGGAUUCUUGCAUGCGUGAGAGUCUUUACUAUGAGAUUUGUUUUCUUCUUUGAGGUUAGAUCAGUAGCAAGUCUCUCUCACUACCCCCUGCACCGCCCAUCCAGUACAGUAUAUGGAACAUAGUUUGGGUACUGAAGAAAAUAACUUGUUAAGCAGAAUUAAGUAACUGUGGAAUGUAUCUGUAUACUCAAGAACAUGUUUAAAGACAUAGCAGCUGUGUACAGUACAGUAAGGUUUUACCCCGUGG
rnacentral:lncRNA from 1 species